AAAAAAAUAUUGAUAUAACAGAAUUAUUUCGAAGAAUUAUUUUUUUAUUGGUGUUGAAAUUUGUUGAAUCCUUAGAAAUACAAAAAGCAAACCUUUCAAGUUAUAUAGGAUAAGAUUAUUCACCAAAGAUAAUACUUCAAUCAAUGUGUCUUUGAAUAUUAGCUCAUUGAUAUCUACAUAUAAAUACAUAAUGUUAAAAUCGUCAAUCAUUUGAUCAAUUAAUCCUUUCAUCAUUUAUGAAAUAUGAAAAAAAAAGAAUAAAUUAGAUAUACAAAUAUUCUCAACAUCCUUUUUAUUCUUAAUUAUUUCUUGAUCCCUUUUUCGUUUUUUUUAUUUCUUUUAUUUUUUUCAUAAAUAUUUGAUUAAUUUCAACACGACAUACACCUUAUAUUUUAAUUCUGGCAUCCACUAGUUUUUUUUUUUUUUUUGAUAAGUUUGGCAUACUUAACAGUUCAAUCUCUAACUAAUUCCAUUCUCGCUGAGCUCACGAGUGCAUUAUAAGUAUUCUUAUAGCAUUGCAAUAUUUAAUGUGAUGAGUUGGUAGUGGAUGAAUAGAGUAUUGGAGUAUACUAAUAGAAAGGAAUUUGCGCAAAGAUUAAUUUAUGAAGAUAAAA
rnacentral:lncRNA from 1 species